UUCUUAUUUUAGGAGGAGUCCUUAGAGAAGCCGAUAGUAUGUGACCCAAACAAGGGCACUAAAGGAAUUAAAAUACAAAACAUCAUUUAUUCUUAAUUCCAUUCUCUGAAACUUAGCAUCCCACCCCUCUACUGGUAGAGCUCUGAGAACAGUGAAUUUCCGAUCUCCCUGGAGAUCAGACCUGGGAUGCUGCAUGAAGACAAAGCUAAUGAGAAGGAAAUGGAAAUGUCACCCUCAUUAACACAGCCACUCACAGGAAGAAGAGCCAACCCAGAGUCCUGUUCUCUGUGUGCAGCUCUGGCUAGGAGAAGAGGAGAGACAGCGGAGACAGACAAAACUGACAAGUUUGGAAAGCUGGGCUUGGCAACGGCAGGAACCAACGCAGAUCCGGAAAGGUGUUGAAGGGGCACAUCACUUAGAGAGCGUUCGGAGACUCGCAGCGGUUUUGUGACUGAGGGGGAGCUCUGGCAUGGCACGGCUUAGCUAUCUCAACCCCAUCUUCACCUCUUCUUCCUGACCCUUCCCAGUACAUCUUCAUGUGCAGUGUUUCCCAUAGCAGGGGUAUCUUGCCAGGACCUACCACUGGGGUGCAUUGUGACCAUGGCCGUGUCAGGGGCCUUAUUUCUGACAAGGAAAGAUCAAAUACUUGGCUGAAACUGGAUCAUAGAUGGCUGGACCUUCAUGAUGUUUCCAUGAGAUGGUGUCUAACAAGAGGGGGAAAGG